UUUGUAAGAAACUACCAAAUUGUCUUCCAAACUGACUGUAUCAUUUUGCAUUCCUGCCAGCAAUGAGUGAGAUUUCCUAUCGCUCCAUGUCUUUGUCAACAUCUGGUGCUGUCAAUAUUGCAGAUUUUGGCCAUUCUGGGUAUCCAUCUUCCUACCUGAUUGGAUAUUCGUUGGUUGAUUGACAGAAUUCUCUCAGAAGUUGGUGAAAGUCUUGGGUGAAAAUUGAUUGGGGGUGCCUGGAUGGCUCAGUCGGUUAAGCAUCUGCCUUCAGUUCAGGUCGUGGUCCUGGGAUCCUGGGAUCAAG